UAUAUCCCAUUUUUAAUAUAAGGUUGAUUUUGCCUUUAAUUUAAAUUAGUUAUUUUAUAAUAAUAAAUAUAAGUUUUUGCGAGUUAGUAAUUUAUCUAAAUGAUAAAUUGAUUUAUUUGUAGUUUUUAAUUUU
rnacentral:rRNA from 1 species